rnacentral:rRNA from 1 species
CUACGGGGCGCUCCAGUGAGGAAUAUUGCACAAUGGGGGAAACCCUGAUGCAGCAACGCCGCGUGGAGGAUGACGCAUUUCGGUGUGUAAACUCCUUUUAUCAGAGAAGAAAAUGACGGUAUCUGAUGAAUAAGCUCCGGCUAACUCCGUGCCAGCAGCCGCGGUAAUACGGAGGGAGCAAGCGUUAUUCGGAAUCACUGGGCGUAAAGGACGCGUAGGCGGGUUUUUAAGUCAGGUGUGAAAUCCUAUGGCUCAACCAUAGAACUGCACUUGAAACUGGGGACCUAGAGUAUGGAAGGGGCAGGUGGAAUUAGUGGUGUAGGGGUAAAAUCCGUAGAUAUCACUAGGAAUACCGAAAGCGAAGGCGACCUGCUGGGACAUUACUGACGCUGAGGCGUGAAAGCAUGGGGAGCAAACAGGAUUAGAUACCCCUGUAGUC